GGGCCCGCACAAGCGGUGGAGCAUGUGGUUUAAUACGUCACUAACCGUAGAACCUUACCCAGGCUUGACAUCUGGGGAACCCUGAUGAAAGUCGGGGGUGCUUCGUAAGAAGAGCCUCAAGACAGGUGUUGCAUGGCUGUCGUCAGCUCGUGUCGUGAGAUGUUGGGUUAAGUCCCGCAACGAGCGCAACCCUCAUCCGAUGUUGCCAGCGGAUAAUGCCGGGAACUCUUCGGAAACUGCCCGUGUAAGCGGGAGGAAGGUGGGGAUGACGUCAAGUCAGCAUGGCCCUUACGCCUGGGGCUACACACAUGCUACAAUGGACGUUAACAAAGGGCAGCGAUACCGCGAGGUGGAGCUAAUCUCAAAAAUACGUCCUCAGUUCGGAUUGUAGUCUGCAACUCGACUACAUGAAGUCGGAAUCGCUAGUAACCGCAGGUCAGCUAAACUGCGGUGAAUACGUUCCCGGGCCUU
rnacentral:rRNA from 1 species